rnacentral:rRNA from 1 species
UACGGAGGGUGCAAGCGUUAUCCGGAUUUACUGGGUUUAAAGGGUGCGCAGGCGGAUAUGUAAGUCAGUGGUGAAAUCUUCCCGCUUAACGGGAAAACUGCCAUUGAUACUAUAUAUCUUGAAUGCUGUGGAGGUAAGCAGAAUAUGUCAUGUAGCGGUGAAAUGCUUAGAUAUCAGGAGGAACACCGGUGGCGAAGGCGGCUAUCUGGACAGAGUCUGACGCUGAGGCGCGAAAGCUAGGGGAGCAAACAGG